AUUGAACGCUGGCGGCAGGCCUAACACAUGCAAGUCGAGCGGAGCGGCGGACGGGUGAGUAAUGCCUAGGAAUCUGCCUGGUAGUGGGGGAUAACGUCCGGAAACGGGCGCUAAUACCGCAUACUAUCAGAUGAGCCUAGGUCGGAUUAGCUAGUUGGUGGGGAAAAGGCCUACCAAGGCGACGACCCGUAACUGGUCUGAGAGGAUGAUCAGUCAAACUGGACCGGAUACACGGUCCAGAGUCCUACGUGAGGCAGCAGGGGGGAAUAUUGGACAAUGGGGGAAAGCCUGAUCCCGCCAUGCCGCGUGUGUGAAGAAGGUCUUCGGAUUGUAAAGCACUUUAAGUUGGGAGGCGUUACCAACAGAAUAAGCACCGGCUAACUUCGUGCCAGCAGCCGCGGUAAUUC
rnacentral:rRNA from 1 species